rnacentral:lncRNA from 1 species
UAAUGCUUAGAAAUGUCAUUUUUCAUAGUCGUUAACUACUUCCGUUUGCCUUUGAGUUAUGAACUUUAUGACUUUCAUUAAUACUUAAUUUUGGAAUUGUUUAUAUUUCUAAAAUUUAUCUUAACAUAAUCCAUUUUCUCCUUUAACAUCAAACAAUAUGAGUUAGUGCACACAACAUAAUAAAGUCCACUGAGGUACACUAGAACAAC